rnacentral:tRNA from 1 species
GGAGGGGUGGGUGAGUGGUUAAUACCACCAAACUGUAAAUCUGGCGUCCGGAAGGGCUACGCAGGUUCGAAUCCUGCCCCCUCCACCA